rnacentral:lncRNA from 1 species
CUACUACUGAUGUACCCCCUGAGCCGACACAUAUGAGUUCUCCACCAUUAAAGACACACACAGAUAGUACUCAGUCAGUGCAGGGAUCAGGUACCGGGACAGUUCCUCAAACCACUCUUGCACAGGGGUUGUUGGCUGAGAUCAGCUCAGAGCGAUAUGGUGUCAAGCAUAUGUUGAUUGAUCACUUUAAGAAGGACCAUGGAAUGAAAGUUGGAUCUACCAUGAGAUUUGCUAUUGAGGACUUGGUUUUUAAGCUCUUUG